GAAUAUUGGACAAUGGGGGGAACCCUGAUCCCGCCAUGCCGCGUGUGUGAAGAAGGCCUUUUGGUUGUAAAGCACUUUAAGCGAGAAUGAGGCUACUCUAGUUAAUACCCAGCGAUAGUGGACGUUAUUCGCAGAAUAAGCACCGGCUAACUCUGUGCAAGCAGCCGCGGUAAUACAGAGGGUGCAAGCGUUAAUCGGAUUUACUGGGCGUAAAGCGCGCGUAGGUGGCCAAUUAAGUCAAAUGUGAAAUCCCCGAGCUUAACUUGGGAAUUGCAUUCGAUACUGGUUGGCUAGAGUAUGGGAGAGGAUGGUAGAAUUCCAGGUGUAGCGGUGAAAUGCGUAGAGAUCUGGAGGAAUACCGAUGGCGAAGGCAGCCAUCUGGCCUAAUACUGACACUGAGGUGCGAAAGCAUGGGGAGCAAACA
rnacentral:rRNA from 1 species